GGACGGGUGAGUAAUGUCUGGGAAACUGCCUGAUGGAGGGGGAUAACUACUGGAAACGGUGGCUAAUACCGCAUAACGUCGCAAGACCAAAGAGGGGGACCUUCGGGCCUCUUGCCAUCAGAUGUGCCCAGAUGGGAUUAGCUAGUAGGUGGGGUAACGGCUCACCUAGGUGACGAUCCCUAGCUGGUCUGAGAGGAUGACCAGCCACACUGGAACUGAGACACGGUCCAGACUCCUACGGGAGGCAGCAUG
rnacentral:rRNA from 1 species